UGCCAUUUUACCAGGACCCUAAGGGAAUAGGGGGCCAUUUUACCAGGACCCUAAGGGAAUAGUGGGCUAUUUGACCAGGACCCACGGGGAAUAGUGGGCCAUUUGACCAGGACCCUAAGGGAAUAGGGGGCCAUUUGACCAGGACACACGGGGAAUAGGGGGCCAUUUGACCAGGACCCACGGGGAAUAGUGGGCCAUUUGACCAGGACCCACGGGGAAUAGGGGCCAUUUAACCAGGACCCACGGGGAAUAGGGGGCCAUUUAACCAGGACCCACGGGGAAUAGGGGCCAUUUAACCAGGACCCACGGGGAAUAGGGGCAAUUUGACCAGGACCCACAGGGAAUAGGGGGCCAUUUGACCAGGACCCAUGGGGAAUAGGGGGCCAUUUGACCAGGACCCACAGGGAAUAGGGGGCCAUUUAACCAGGACCCACGGGGAACAGGGGGCCAUUUAACCAGGACCCACUGGGAAUAGGGGCCAUUUAACCAGGACCCACAGGGAAUAGGGGGCCAUUUAACCAGGACCCACAGGGAAUAGGGGGCCAUUUAACCAGGACCCACAGGGAAUAGGGGGCCAUUUAACCAGGACCCACGGGGAACAGGGGGCCAUUUAAC
ensembl:lncRNA